CUAAAGACUUCAAUUCUUUUUAACUAAAAGAUACAGUACUGAUUUGUGUUCUAUCCUGAUAGACAAAUGGACACCCAUUGUAUUAAUUCUGAAUGUGGUUGGUUAUUCGCGAUUUUUGCACUGAGCGGCCUUGGGGCAGGGUCGCUAGUAGGGUUAAUGUUGAACUUCACACAAGCAAAGGAUAUUUGUGAUAACAAUGGCUCCACCUGCACCUGUGUGACCAGACCUGAUAGAGGAUAUCAACGCUUACUAUUCAAGAGGGCUAAGAAACUGUGUAUUGCGGCGCAGAACAGCUCGACACUUACCAGGGUCAGCGAAGAGUUGACGUUUCUGCCAGAAGGGAUAGAGAUUGAAAAGCUCAAACUGGAAACCCAAGACAGCAAACCUGACUUCAGCCGCACCAACUACAUUCUGUGCUGUGCAGAAACAUCUGGGAGGGGAAUUAUACUCUCUGAUAACGAACCGGACCAACUUGGGGCCAUCAUAACGCACGCGGAGAAUGCCAGAGCCCACUGUGCAAUAUUGGUUCUUGGUACACAGGAUCCCGAGGAAGGAGAACUGUAUGACAAGUCUCAACUGGAUGUGAUGGUGCAAAGCCAAACAAAACUGCAGGCGUAUAUAGACGGGCGUACACUGUUCAGUUUCCGCAGUAAAUUACAUGAGGAACAAAAGAAUGCUAUUGUUAAUUGGCUUCACCACAGAGACUAAAUUUAAUAGAUGUUAUGCAUUGUACGUGUGGGUACUAGUGGUAUGUUCUUCAGGAGAAGUACAUUAUUUAGAGUGUGUUUUUAAUAACUUUGUCAGAUUUGCAUUGUGUUUCUGCUAUCAUACUUGUUAUCAUAUUGAUGGGUGCAUGCUCUAUCUUAAAGCUAACACAUUGCAAAUGGAAAUACAUUGUAUCUCUUAAACUGAAAUAUUUAAUCAUUUCUCAAAUAUUUGUUAAACCAUGGAGGUCGAAAAGCAAAAACGUAUUUCCCUGUAUGUUUGGUUAGUUAUGGCCGAUGUGACCUAUAUAUAGGCUCAAUGUCUUUCUCUUAUUUGCAAAUAAAGAAUGGUUUUACUUAUAUCUAAUAUGUCAUCUGAAAAUCUGUACACUUUGCAGACUAGUACUUCUACGUUUCUGUAACAGCGAUAACUUGGAUUCUAUUGGCUUUUGUAUUUGAAUUGUCAUGGCAGUACCCAAUAGAAAACCUCACGUCUAGUUCUACCCGCAAGAUGGCGCCAUUUCUAAAGCACGUGACAGACUGACUAUGCUAAUUUCGACAUAUUGGCUCAAGACGAAGGUUCUCGACAGAUUCCAAAAUGCCCGCCACACAAUGCUUCCACGGUGGCAUAUGUAUAUUCGCUUUCUCGUUUGUUACGUUGAUCUGUUUCGUCGUAGGGAUCAUGUUAAUAGAAAUGAUUGUUGGGGUAAUGAAACGCAAUACGUUGAACAGUGCUGGCAGCACUGUUAGCGUACGUAAUCGUGUCGGACGUACUCGUACAAAGAAGCUGUGUAUCGCCGCUAAAAACAACUCAACCCUUAAAAAGGUGAAUGAAAAAAUGACUUCUCUACUACACGACGAAGUAGACAUCGAACAACUGUGGCUACAAACCAGGAACGGCAAGCCAGACUUAGGGCGCUUCAACUACAUUCUAUGCUGUGCAGAGCAGACAUCUGGGAGGGGAAUUAUACUCUCAAAUGAUAACGGACCGGACCAGCUUGGGGCCAUCACAACACAAGCCAAGAACGCAAAUGUCGAAUGCGCGAUACUGGUGCUCGGUAAACGGGACGCUCCAAUCGGACAACUUUAUGACGAGUCCCAGAUGGAUGAAAUGACAAGAAACCAGCCAAGACUGAAAGAAUACAGCGACAAUAAAAGACUUUUCAGCUUUUGCAAUGACUUAAAUAGCGACCAACAGACGGCUAUCCGUGAAUGGCUAGAACUUAAAGCUCCAAACGUUCCUGAAGAAACUUGGUUGUAAUUACGCUCUGUAAAUAAUUCUGAAAUAGAGUCAAGCCCUGAGCAUUUGUUCGUCGGAGAUUAAUAUGAAUAUAUAUGAAUACAUAUAUAAGAUAACAUUCAAUUUCACGCGAUGGACACUGCUCGUAUAAAGUUUUUGCGACAAGAAUUUAUUUUGUAAUUUAGAGCGUUUAUAUCAUCCUACAAUUUUAUACCAAUCAUCAUAUCAGAAAAUGGAAACCCCGUGAUUCCUUUGUUAAGUAUUAUGAAAACUAUGAUUAUAUAUCAUUACUAGUAUAUCGUUACUAGUAUGUAACGUAGGUAACAAAGUAAAAUGUUAGUAAUAAUGUAAUGUGGAAAUUAUUGUGUAUUUUGUAGAGUAAGGAAGAAAUUAUAUUUAUGUUAAGUGACAUCUAUGCAAAAUCUAUGCAUCUAUGCAUCUCUGCAUGGUUCAUGGCAUAAUGCCACUUUGCUUUGUGUAAGACAAUUAAGCAUGACCCACAGAUAACUAUACCA